GAGGGUAUAGCUGAGGAGGAGGACGUGUGCUUAGCAUGCACGAGGUCCUGGGUUCAAUUCCCAGUACCUCCA
rnacentral:tRNA from 1 species